rnacentral:rRNA from 1 species
GACAGAGGUGCCAAGCGUUAGGCGGAAUCACUGGGCUUAAAGGCGUGUGUAGGCGGGUCGUUAAGUACCUUGUGAAAUCCCCCGGCUCAACCCGGGGAACCGGCUGGGUAUACUGGCAACCUUGAGCCAACUAGGGGCGAGCGGAACAAGUGGUGGAGCGGUGAAAUGCGUAGGAUAUCACUUGGAACGCCGACGGUGAAAACAGCUCGCUGGGGUUGUGACUGACGCUGGAGACGCGAAAGCCAGGGAGCGAACGGG